rnacentral:lncRNA from 10 species
GCGUCUGCACUUUUCCCACCUGUUCCUUCGCUUGCUCCUGCUGUGAGGUGGUUCCAACCCCUCCCUCAGCGAAUUUCUCCAAAACAAGGCCCACGGGCCACAGCCCUCUUGAAGUGCCGGCCACAGCCGUGUUUACACGUGCUUAUUCUGACUCUUUACAUAAAACCCACCGUUGCUCACUGGAAAUACCCAGUGGGCUGCUGCUCAUUUUUCCACAGAAAUGAGGCAGCUGCAGACAGACCCGUGAUGCUGACAGACAGGGCUUAAGCCUGGCAGGGACAAGCAUGGGUCCCACCCGCACACAUUGGAGCUGAACAUUCACAGAGCGGGUGAGGGUGAGAGUUGCUGACUACUGUGACCGCAAGAAUCCCACCUUCAGACGGGACCAUCCUUAACUCCCCUCGAACCAUCUGAGAAGGCUUUCUCGAGUAGGAGCACUUCUUCGAGGCAACACGUCAUGGCCUACGCCCAGCCCUGGGUUGGCUACUCCCCAGAAGUGGAACCUUGGUCAGUCACUUCACUUUAGUUCUCUCAACUGUGAUCCAGCAAAGAUGUGUCUGCUCUGCCUGUCCCUUAAAGAUCAAGUGAUAUGUGAGAUGGAUCUUGGGGAACUCUGAAGUACUAUAAUGACAUUGGACAUUCUUACUAUGAAGAAGAAACCAAGGCUCAAAAAGGAUGCAGAGAGCUGGGAGAACAUUGCCAGAAGUGCUUCCUGAGCCUGGACCUUGUCUGGCCCUCCAAGACCCCUUCCCACCAUCUCCCAGCACUUCCAAAGGCCAGGGAGCUGAGGUCCUAGACGGGGAGGGUGCAUGUUCACAAAUAGUAUGAGUUGCCACCUGUCAAUUGUGCAUUUCUAGGUCCAGAGACCAGCUCAUGGGACAAGGGCCACCUGCUGUGUCUCCUCUAGAGCCAGGAGGCUAUCGGAAGGGGCAGAUCCAUUCAUUCAUUUCACCAUAAAAUUUUAACAGCUGUAUUGAGAUAGAAUUUACAUACCAUACUGUUCACCCAUUUAAAGUAUACAAUUAGAUGGUUUUUGGUAUAUUCAGGGUUGUGUAAGAUUGACCAUCACAAUAAACGUUAGAACAUUUUCAUCAUUCCCAAAAGAAAUACCCUACUCUUUAGCACUUACUUCCCCAGCUUCCCUCCCCCAAGCCCUAAGGCAACCACGAAUCUACUUUCUGUGCCUGUAGAUGUGUCUAUUCUGGUCAUUUCCUGUAAGUGGACUCAUGCAGUGUGUGGUCUUCUGUGGCUGGCUCCUUUCAUUCAUCAUCAUAUUUUCAAGGUCCAUCUGCGCUGUGGCUUAUGUUGGGACUCAGAAAACAACACCUCAAAAUGAAGACCUCAGAAACAAAAGUUUUUCUCUGACCUGCUCCUGCCCUCCUGUUUCUCAGUCCCAUUCUCCCCCGAGGCCAGCCGUUGAGACUGGAAUCCCUCUUUUCCAAGGUGGGUCAUAGAAACCCAAACUCCUUUUCUCCAAAGCCAGCCAUAAAACCUAAAAGUAUCAAUCUCUCUCCCCAACUCCACACCGCCAGUGUAAAAACUGGCCAUAAAACAUGAUGUGACCUACCUUACCUGACUGUAGUUCAUUAGACCCUCAUACCCAGAAGGAAGGAACACAUGCUCAAAGGGGUCAACAAAAAUCUAGAUGGACAGCCUUGCUGGAUUUCCAUACUCACUCUGUUAGCAUUAGAUCAGACCCUUUUUGUCCAAUCGUAUUUCUCCACACAGCUGUCUAUACUUUGUUGAACCUAAGCAUAAAAAUGGACAACUUCCCCUGUAUCUUUGGGUCUUCAUUCUGAAAGCUCCUGUGUCACCUAAAACUAUGGUCAAAUAAAUUUAUGUACCUUUUCUCCUAUUAAUCUGCCUUAUGUGAGUGAUUUUCAACAAAACUUCAGAGGGUGAAGCAGAAUUUUUCCCUUGGACUUGACGCUUGUAUCAGUACUUCAUUUCUUUGUAUUGUGAAUAACUGUGGAUAACACUCCAUUGUGUGGAUAUGCCACAUUUUAUUUAUCUAUUCAUCAGGUGAUAGCCGUUUGAAUUGUUUCCCCUUUUGGGCUAUCAUGAAUAAUGGUGCUAUCAACUGAUGUGCAAGUUUUUGCAUGAGCUUAUAUUUUCAGUUCUUUUGGGGAUAUCCAUAGGAGUGGAAUUGCUGGGUCAUAUGGUAACUCUGUUAACCUUCUGGGGAAAUUUUCCACAAAUAAUUUUGAGAGCCUCCUAUAUGCAAGGUCUGGGCUAGGUGCUGGGGGUUCCAAACAAAUCUUGUGAAAAGUUAGGAACAAAUUCUGGUGAAUAAUACAUGAGGAUUCUAAUAAGGAAUCCACAUUUUAGUAAGUGCUAAGGAUUACAGGAAUGAGCCACCAACCUGGAAUGAAGCUUGUUAAUGUCUACAAAAAAAGGCCAAAUAGAAUUUUGAUUAGGAUUGCAAAACUCUGUAGAUCAAUAUGGGGAGAAAUAAACAAUAUUGAGUCUUAUGAUCCAUGAACAUAGUAUAUCUCUCUAUUUUUUUUAGGUGUUCUUUAAUUUCUCUCAGAAACAUUUUGUAGUUUGCAGUGUAUAGCUCUUACAUACAUUCUGUUAAAUUUAUCCCUAAAGAUGUCAUGUUUGUCAAUGUGACUAUAUAUAGUAUUUUUAAAAAUAUCUAUUUCCAAUUGUUCAUUGCUAGAAAUGCAAUUGAUUUUUGCGUAUUGACUUUGGACACUUCGGCCUUGC